rnacentral:lncRNA from 1 species
GGAAAUGUUAAAGUAGAUUAUUAUAUAUACAGUUAUAUUGAUCACAUUGGUCCAACCAGUCAGGGACAAGGAGGAAGUGUUGGUUUCUUAAGAUUUGGCCAAAUGAAUCUUGACAUUUUCUGGAAUUAAAUACUGUAAUGCUAUAUGUUAAUUCUAGACGAUGUUUAAGUUGGUCUGACUUCAAAUAAUAAAAAGGUAUUUAGGGCAUAUUCAAGUGCAUGGGUUAGUUUUUCUGACAAAGCAUGUUUUGGUGUAUAGUCUUUUACUUUUUAGAAACAGCUAUGCAUCUUUUUACAUGGUCAGGUUUAAAACACCUUUUGGGGGCUUAGGGCUGUUGAAAUAUUUUGUUGUCAGAAUCACUUUCAGUUGAAGAACCUAAAGUAACUCUUUUAUAUAGUAGAUUUGGGCAUGUAGACUAAUCUUAAAUGCAUAUGAUUUGAUAAUGUAUAUGGAUUUAUGAAGAAAGCAAUUGAUGAAUUCAGUCAAGAGGAUGUAAUUACAAUACCUGGUCUCUAAAGUAUUCCAGUUGUAAAUUAUUUGUUUUAUUUGCUGGCUAAACACAGAUGUGGUUUUUCAUAUAUUUUUGUAGUGUUUUGAGAAGAGCAGAAGCUUUAUAAACACCACCUAAUGCACUGUGCAGUGAAAAUGUAAGCGAUAUCCUUAUGUGCUCUGAGCUUUAAUUUUUUUGUUUACAAACUGAACAGUGUUAUGCAGGCAGUCUAGUCCUUAUUUAAGGUAGAGAGAAAUGAUACAGUACUGCAGAUAAGAAUUAACGAUUAUAGAAAAUGAAGGGGAAAGUAGCAAAGCUGUGUUCUGUGAAAAUUCACUAGCACUGUUUAUGUUGGACUCCAAAAAAAUGUUCUAAAUUAAAAGGAGGGCAAACCUUUACCUAAUUCUUAUCUGCAGGUGAAGACUUGCUUCCCGUGAUGACAUGUUAGCAAAUCAGCAUGAUUUCUGUGUGUUAACGCCAACACCUGUUUGUUUUGAAGAUAACCAAAAGAAAUGCACUUUGCUAGCAGGGUUUGGGGUUUUUUGUUGUUGUUGUUGUUACUUUUGCUUUUUUUAAAAAAAUGGAGUUUUUGGAAACUUGGUUCUUGUUACACACAAAAUGAAGUAGCUUCCUGUGGAGCCUUCACGUGUUAAGUGUAUUAAUACCUGCACUAGUGACAGUCACUUAGAAUGUUUAUAUUUAUAGAAAUGUGGAUAAUAACUACCAAUAAACUACUUGAGGCAA